CCUACGGGGGGCUGCAGUGAGGAAUAUUGGUCAAUGGCCGGAAGGCUGAACCAGCCAAGUCGCGUGAAGGACGAAGGUGCUAUGUAUUGUAAACUUCUUUUGUCAAGGGAUAAAAUCAGUCUCGAGAGCCUGAUCGAGGGUACUUGAAGAAUAAGCACCGGCUAAUUCCGUGCCAGCAGCCGCGGUAAUACGGAGGAUCCGAGCGUUAUCCGGAUUUAUUGGGUUUAAAGGGUGCGUAGGCGGCCUGUUAAGCCAGCGGUAAAAGCCCGGGGCUCAACCCCGGCGAGCCGUUGAAACUGGGUGUCUUGAGAUGUCGGGAGGUAUGCGGAAUGCGCGGUGUAGCGGUGAAAUGCUUAGAUAUUGCGCAGAACUCCGAUUGCGAAGGCAGCAUACUGGCGGCGAUCUGACGCUGAGGCACGAAAGCGUGGGUAUCGAACAGGAUUAGAUACCCUGGUAGUC
rnacentral:rRNA from 1 species